GAUGAAGAACGUAGCGAAAUACGAUAAGUAAUGUGAAUUGCAGAAUUCAGUGAAUCAUCGAAUCUUUGAACGCAUCUUGCGCUCCUUGGUAUUCCUUGGAGCAUGCCUGUUUGAGUAUCAUGAGCAAAUCUCAAAGUCAAUUCCUUUUGUUAAUUCAAUUGGUUUUGCUUUGGACUUGGAGGUCUUGCAGAUUUCACAGUCUGCUCCUCUUAAAUGCAUUAGCUGGAUCUCAGUAAUUAUGCUUGGUUCCACUCGGCGUGAUAAGUAUCACUCGCUGAGGACACUGUUAAAAAGGUGGCCAGGAAAAUACUGAUUGAACCGCUUCUAACGGUCUAUUAAGUUAGACAAUUGACCCCUUAAGUUUGAUCUCAAAUCAGGUAGGACUACCCGCUGAACUUAAGCAUAUCAAUAAGCGGAGGA
rnacentral:misc_RNA from 1 species